UCCCUCAGUAGCGGCGAGCGUAGCGGGAUGAGACCGAGAUGAAAAUCCCUUCGGGGAGUUGUAAUCUGAUUUAUGUUGAGUGUUCAGUGAAUGUAAGUCACAUGGAAUUGUGUACCGUGGAGGGUGAGAGUCCCGUCCAGCAUUCACAGGAAUUUCUCGUACGACGUAAAUUCAACCGAGUCGGGUAGCUUGAGAUCGCUGCUCUAAUAGGUGGUAAACUUCAUCUAAGUCUAAAUACUGGUGGGAGACCGAUAGCGAACAAGUACCGUGAGGGAAAGAUGGAAAGCACUUUGAAAAGAGGGUGAAAAGUACCUGAAACCGCCACGGGGGAAGCGUAUUGUAUCAGUGUGGUGCGGCGUCUGUUCAGCAAACUUCGGUUUGUGUAUUCAGUGCUAGCUAUGUCGGAAUGGUUGUUGGACUAUGGAUGUUGCAUAGACCGAUGAUGAGGGGUCCCUUCGGGUGAGGAUUUCGACAAAAUGAUACGAUUCGACCCGUCUUGAAACACGGACCAAGGAGUUUAGCAUUAAUGCGAGUCGAAGAGUGAUAAACUCAGAGGCGUAGUGAAAGCGAACAUUUGGAAACCUUAACAGGUUGAGGAGGUGUUGCGUCGUUGACAAAACAUCCUACCUAGAGCAUUAAUGCUGAGACCCGAAAGAUGGUGAACUAUGCCGGAGUAGGGCAAAGCCAGAGGAAACUCUGGUGGAGGCUCGUAGCGAUGCUGACGUGCAAAUCGCUCGUCGAACUUGGGUAUAGGGGCGAAAGACUAAUCGAACCAUCUAGUAGCUGGUUCCCUCCGAAGUUUCUCUCAGGAUAGCGGGCCGACAGUGGGUUGUUUUGUGUGGUAAAGCGAAUGAUUAGCGUAUUUGGGGACGUAAUGUCUUCGGUCGAUUCUCAAACUUUAAAUACGCAAGAUAGAGAUGGUUGCUUAAUUGAACCUCUCUACUGAAAACGUCGGCCCUGUGGGCCACUUUUGGUAAGCAGAACGGCGAUAUGGGAUGAACCAUAAGUUUGGUUAAGGCGUCAAAAUAUCCGCUUAUAGACCCCACAAAAGGUGUUGGUUCAUCUAGACAGCAGGACGGUNNNNNNNNNAGUCGGAAUCCGCUAAGGAGUGUGUAACAACUCACCUGCCGAAUGAACUAGCCCUGAAAAUGGAUGACGCUUAAGCGGAUUGCCGACACCAAACCGUUUUGAUAAGAAGCGAUCAAAAUGAGUAGGAGGGCGUGGCGGUUUUGUUGAGAAGGAUGAGACGCAAGUCUAUCUAGAACGGCCGCUAGUGCAGAUCUUGGUGGUAGUAGCAAAUAUUCAAGCGAGAUCCUUGAAGGGCGAAGCGGGGAAGGGUUCCACGCGAACAUUGAUUGGGCGUGGGUGAGUCGUUCCUAAGCCGGGUGGUAAUCGUUCUUCGAUCGGCGAAAGGGAAGCGGGUUAAAAUUCUCGCACACGGAUGUGGAAGCGGUGACGCAAAUUGAGGUGGAGACGUUAGCGGUGGCACUGGGCAGAGUUGUCUUUUCUGUUUAACCUGUGGUUGUACUCUGUGGAAUCCGAUUAUCGGGAGAAACAGGUACUUAUGGGAAGAGCGUCGGGGCGUCCCCGGCGUCCAGUACGCCACCGAUAGCCCCUGAAAAUCCAUCUGCAAUGAAAUUUCACGCCGUGGCGUACCGAUAACCGCAUCAGGUCCCCAAGGUGAACAGCCUCUGCUCAAUAUGAACAAUGCAGGUAAGGGAAGUCGGCAAAAUAGACCCGUAACUUUGGGAAAAGGGUUGGCUCUAGUGGGGUGGAGGAUUUUACUGGAUCAUUGGGAUUUGGUGUUGUCGGUCGGGCGGAGUUAACUGUGGCAACACGGUUUCGGCUCUUCCUGAUCGCUUCGCUGAGUUCGGAUGGUCCGACCUCCAACAUGCUCCAAACUAGAACUGCAACGGGCAAAGGGAAUCCGACUGUUUAAUUAAAACAAAGCAUUGCGAUGGCCGAGGUCGGUGUAGACGCAAUGUGAUUUCUGCUCAGUGCUCUGAAUGUCAAAGUGAAGAGAUUCAAACAAGCGCGGGUAAACAGCGGGAGUAACUAUGACUCUCUUAAGGUAGCCAAAUGCCUCGUCAUCUAAUUAGUGACGCGCAUGAAUGGAUUAACGAGAUUCCUACUGUCCCUAUCUGCUUCUAGCGAAACCACAGCCGAGGGAACGGGCUCGGCGAAAUCGGCGGGGAAAGAAGACCCUGUUGAGCUUGACUCUAUUCUAAUUUUGUGACGCAAGUUAGGAGGUGUAGCAUAGGUGGGAGUCGCAAGACGUCAAUGAAAUACCACUACUCUUAAUCUUGUUUUACUUACGGCAUUAGACUGCACGAUCUUUACGGUCUAUUUUAGCAUCAACUUGGAUUAUAGCAUAUGCUCGUGAGAGUAAUGUUACCUUGGAGCAGCGUGCCUGACAUAUUUAGGAGGGGAGUUUGGCUGGGGCGGCACAUCUUCUACAAGACAACGAAGGUGUCCAAAGAUAAGCUCAGUGAGAACAGAAAUCUCACGUAGCGCAAAAGGGUAAAAGCUUGUUUGAUUUCGAUUUUCAGUGUGAGUUGAAAACGCGAAAGCGUGGCCUAUCGAUCCUUUCACAAUUCGAGGUUUGAAGCGAGAGGUGUCAGAAAAGUUACCACAGGGAUAACUGGCUUGUGGCGGCCAAGCGUUCAUAGCGACGUCGC
rnacentral:rRNA from 1 species